ACUUAUCACAUAAAAAGAUAAAAAAGAUGGCUUUGAUUCUCAAGUUAUACGUUGUGUUUAUAUUUCUUUUCUUAUUUUUUGUUGCAUCAAAGGCUAAUGGUGAGCUGUUUCUUCUUCAAAUUUUAUUUUCUUUUAUUUACUUAUUUGUUUGUACAUAAAAUAUUUGUCUCAUUUUAACAAUAUAAUUUUUUUUAUUAUUUAGGAAUUAAGAAUUGUGAACAUAUCUUACAGAUUGUGAACAAGAUUCUGAUUGCAAGUGCAUUGUGCACGAGGUAAGCAAGUGUGUUAAUGUUUUUGUAGAGUGUGUUACCGUACUUAAAACAAUGACAAAUACGUCUUGAAUAGAUGAAUAAAUAUUGUACCUAAACAAGAUCUAUGAAUAUUAUAUUUUAAGAUAAUAAACAAAUAUAAAUAAAAUUACAAAAAAUAUUAUUAAUAAUGGUCAUCUAUUUUAUUAAAUGAAGAAGUAUGGAUGUGACCUCUAUUUUAUGCAAAUCAUAUAUAUAUAUAUAUAUAUAUAUAUAUAUAUAUAUAUAUAAUAUAUAUAUUAUAUAUAUAUAUAUAUUAUAUAUAUAUAUAUAUAUAUAUAUAAUAUAUAUAUAUGUGUCACGAUUUAAAUUGACAUUAAAGUGUCAAACUUAGUAGCAUGACAUUUUCGAUAACUCUUUACUGGAUAUCUGUAUAAUAAAAUUCACCGUUAGAUUAAAAAUUAUUAUCAUAUUAUAGCAUGUCUAUAAAAUUUAAUAUCAAUAGAAAAUCCACUACUACAAAUAACACAUAUAAUGUCGGUCACUAUAAAAUUUAACCUCGACAACACAAGUUAGGUAACGAAGGACGUCAUGAAAAGUAAUCAUUUGUCACCUUGGUGUUUUUAAAACCGAUGUUAGAAAUUAAAAGAUUGUGGGUUGGAUCCCCAUCAUCAGCAUUUUUAUUAUGUUCAGAUUUGGAUGGCACGCCCAAUGUUAUUAUCUCGGUUUUAUGUAAAAGUCGAGGUAAUAUCUCAAUGUUAUUACCUCGAUUUUAUGUAAACACCGAGGGGAUAAGCUUUUUUGUAUUGUCGUUUCCACAUGUAUUAUAUAACCAUUUACAGAACCAUAUUUUGCAGAUUCCUGAAACAGAAAUAUUGUACAUUUUUCCAAUUUCUCAAUCUGAAACAUUGUAUCACAAAUAUUCAUUGAUUAAACCAAAUGCAAACCCAAAAUGACGCACAUUUUAUAAUUUUACAUUAAAACUAAAACAAAGGAUUAUGAAACAAAAACAAUAACCAAAAUGGAAUGUUUUGUAGGUUGUCCAAUAUGAUUUGUCAUUGGUCCUUAAGCACCUAUAGUUUGAACAAUAUUUGAAACUAAUUAGGUCAAUCAAUAACAAUUUGAAAUAUAUGUAUAAUGAUUAAAAAUGAGUAAAAUGAUUAAUUAUAAUUUUCAAAGGGAUAUAAAACAUUUACUUACUAGUUUGUGCAUAUCCCCUCUUCAUGAUCACGAAGCAUGCACAUCAUCUGAAUCAUUUUCUUCAGAUGCAUAACGUACAUGUGUUGCUAAACUAGGCGUCUCAUAGUUAAAAUUUUGAUUUUCAUCAGUACUAGUGGAAAGAUGUUGACCUUGAAGAGCAAUUGAUCAUCUAGUAUUAGAAGGAUCAGUGGCAACCAUUUGCAAAGCUCUAAUGCACUACUCUCUUUAGAAAUACUUUCAUUAAGCCAAUUUAUAAAAGUUUUGUUAUGCUUUGUCAACAACCAUUUUUCAUUCAUCCGGGGGAAUUUUUCCUUUAAAAGACUUUUGUGAGCGGUCAAGCAAGGUUGAACUUCAGAAAGAUUAUUCAAUAUAUGCAAAUGUGCUUGAAGAACUACUUUUCGGGAAAAUGUCUUAAUAUUUAAACCUUGAAUACCUCUACCAUAAUAAAAUCCAUCACGACGAGACUCGUGAAUUCCUAUAAAGUAAGCUUCUGACAAAUACUUUUUACAAAACUCAAUAGCUUCUUCUGUGAUGUACAUUUCUACGAUCAAAGCUUUCGAACGACGAUGAUUCAGUGUAUACCCUUUAAAAAUCUUCAUGUAACGCUCUACCGGAUACAUCCACCGUAAAUAAACUGGACCACAAAUUCUAAUCUCCCUUACUAGAUGAACAACUAAGUGAAACAUAAUGUCAAAUAAUGAUGGAGAGAAAACAUCUCUAAUUGGUACAAGAUAACUGCAACUUCGUCUUCCAAGUCAUCUAAAUUUCUAGGAUCAAUAACUUUACUACAUAUAAUAUUGAAGAAUAUGCAUAAUCUGGUUAUAGUUACCCUUACAUUUCUUGGUAAAAUGCCACGGAUAAUCACUGGUAGAAGUUGUUGCAUCAAAACAUGACAAUCAUGAGAUUUCAAGCCAAUUAACUUGUAAUCGUUCUCUGACACAAGUUUCUUCAUAUUUGAUAAGUACUGUAGCGGUAAAUUUAUGAUCAUCAAGCUAUGGAUAAGCUAGAGAUCAAAUAAUAAGAGUCGCCACCGCGCUUUUAUUAUUUCCAAGGGAAAAGGGAAAAAGUACGAACAAAACCCAAAAAGUAAGAAGUUUUCAAAUAAAAACUAAUAAAAUUUCAGAGAUUACAGGUAAGGGGGUUGGUUACACAGAGGGAAGGUGUUAGCACCCAAAGUGUCCUAGGUACUCCUAGGGAGCCCUUUUUGUGUGCAUAUGUAUUUGGUACAAAGUGAUGUUUACAAACAAAUAGAAUUGGGGAGUGAGAAUAAGAAUUCCAUACAAUAUUUUUGUGUUUGGCAAGACCUUCGGUCUUGUGCCUACGUACCAACAUAAAAAUGAGGGAUCAAAACCUCGUAGUUCGUGAUACAAAUUUCAAAGUGGAUGCAUUGCUUUUAACAAAAAUUUAGUUUGAAAGGCACAAAGGCCUAAAAAUGGUUUGAAUGAGUUAUUUCUUUUUGGCAUUUUGAAAGUUUAAGUCAAGUAUAGUUAAGUUUAUUUACAAGUUUGAUUUAAGAAAAGAAGUUUGAAAAUGCAAUGGCAUAAAGCCAAAGUUUCUAUCUUUUUUACAAAGUGGUCAAAGUUUAAAACAAAAUAAGUUCAAUCAAAGAAAGUUUUGAAAAAGGAGGGAGAUGUUUUGAAAUUAAAGAAAUGGGGAGAAGAUGAAGAAACUAAUCCUAUGUACAAAAUUAAAAUUUAAGAGUUGAAAAGAUCUGACCAAAUAGGUAGCAAUCCAAUAGACAAGAAUGUCAAUAGAAACCCAGAAUUCCCUUGGACUUUUAGAAUAAGCAACACACAAAUGCACAAUUAUAUUAUCUUGAAGAGCAAGGCAUCAAAUAAAGAUGGCCAUAUCCAAGCUUAUCCAUUCCAUGAUCUUCUUCAAGGUAGCCCAUGUAACAAAUGAAUUCCACAAGUCACAGGUUCAAAAUAACAACUUCACAAUGAUCAUGUUGCAGAUGAACUUAGAGAGAUCUUGAAUGAUGUAUCAGAUGAAGUUUCAAAUUGCAAGCACUUGGUUUCUCAAACGUAAGUUGGCAUUGGCC
rnacentral:lncRNA from 1 species